CCUACGGGUGACAGCAGUGGGGGAUAUUGCACAAUGGGCGCAAGCCUGACCCAGCAACGCCGCGUGAAGGAAGAAGGCUUUCGGGUUGUAAACUUCUUUUGUCAGGGAAGAGUAGAAGACGGUACCUGACGAAUAAGCCACGGCUAACUACGUGCCAGCAGCCGCGGUAAUACGUAGGUGGCAAGCGUUGUCCGGAUUUACUGGGUGUAAAGGGCGUGUAGCCGGGUUGACAAGUCAGAUGUGAAAUCCUGCGGCUUAACCGCAGAACUGCAUUUGAAACUGUUGAUCUUGAGUACUGGAGAGGCAGACGGAAUUCCUAGUGUAGCGGUGAAAUGCGUAGAUAUUAGGAGGAACACCAGUGGCGAAGGCGGUCUGCUGGACAGCAACUGACGGUGAGGCGCGAAAGCGUGGGGAGCAAACAGGAUUAGAUACCCUUGUAGUC
rnacentral:rRNA from 1 species